GGAUGGCUCAGUGGUUAAGAGCACUGGCUGCUUUUCCAGAGGGCCCAGGUUCGACUCCUGUAUCCA
rnacentral:tRNA from 1 species